rnacentral:rRNA from 1 species
AUUGAACGCUGGCGGCAGGCUUAACACAUGCAAGUCGAGCGGGGAAGGGUAGCUUGCUACCUGACCUAGCGGCGGACGGGUGAGUAAUGCUUAGGAAUCUGCCUAUUAGUGGGGGACAACAUUCCGAAAGGAAUGCUAAUACCGCAUACGCCCUACGGGGGAAAGCAGGGGAUCUUCGGACCUUGCGCUAAUAGAUGAGCCUAAGUCAGAUUAGCUAGUUGGUGGGGUAAAGGCCUACCAAGGCGACGAUCUGUAGCGGGUCUGAGAGGAUGAUCCGCCACACUGGGACUGAGACACGGCCCAGACUCCUACGGGAGGCAGCAGUGGGGAAUAUUGGACAAUGGGCGGAAGCCUGAUCCAGCCAUGCCGCGUGUGUGAAGAAGGCCUUUUGGUUGUAAAGCACUUUAAGCGAGGAGGAGGCUCUUAAGGUUAAUACCCUUGAUGAGUGGACGUUACUCGCAGAAUAAGCACCGGCUAACUCUGUGCCAGCCGCCGCAGUAAAAC